CGUGUAGGCGGUUUGGCAAGUCGAGUGUGAAAUCCCACGGCUCAACCGUGGAACUGCGCUCGAAACUGCCUUACUUGAGUGCGGGAGAGGUGUGCGGAAUUCCCGGUGUAGCGGUGGAAUGCGUAGAUAUCAGGAAGAACACCGGUGGCGAAGGCGGCACACUGGCCCAGCACUGACGCUGAGGCGCGAAAGCGUGGGGAGCGAACG
rnacentral:rRNA from 1 species